rnacentral:lncRNA from 1 species
AGCAUGCCAUGGAGCCAAGCUGCGACGAGGACAUAGAGGCAGCUGUCCGAUACAUUUCCAAAUACCUCAAGGACCUGGCCGCCUACGUGGACCAAGCUAUCUCUCUAGAAAUGGGACUCGCCAAAGGCCUUCAAGCGUCUUCAAGAAGACCAGCUCUCCAGACGUAAGCUGGUGGAGAUGGGCAGCCCCCAAAGCGCACCCCACAAACCCCAGCACCCUGCUUCCUGGGCUCCCGCUCCAGCUGCCUGGCAGGGGGCUUGCCCCUGACAGCUUCUGCAGGCCUCCUGUCUCCCUCCCAGCAGGCUCUUUGCAGCCCGCGGCUACCAUGUCCCAGCCCAGGCCUUGGCUUUGACACUAGCACACGUGCAAGGCGAGCAGGACUAAGGCAUCUGUGCCACCCCUGGUGAC